UACGAAUGGGGCAAGCGUUGUUCGGAAUCACUGGGCUUAAAGCGUGCGCAGGCGGAUAUGAAAGUCAGAAGUGAAAUCCCGGGGCUCAACCUCGGAAUUGCUUUUGAAACUUCAUAUCUCGAAUCCGGUAGAGGUUAGGAGAAUUCCUAGUGUAGAGGUGAAAUUCGCAGAUAUUAGGAGGAAUACCAGUGGCGUAGGCGCCUAACUGGACCGGCAUUGACGCUCAUGCACGAAAGCGUGGGGAGCAAACAGG
rnacentral:rRNA from 1 species